CAGCCGCCGCGGUAAAACGAAGGGGGCUAGCGUUGCUCGGAAUCACUGGGCGUAAAGGGCGCGUAGGCGGCCGAUUAAGUCGGGGGUGAAAGCCUGUGGCUCAACCACGGAAUUGCCUUCGAUACUGGUUGGCUUGAGACCGGAAGAGGACAGCGGAACUGCGAGUGUAGAGGUGAAAUUCGUAGAUAUUCGCAAGAACACCAGUGGCGAAGGCGGCUGUCUGGUCCGGUUCUGACGCUGAGGCGCGAAAGCGUGGGGAGCAAACAGGAUUAGAUACCCGCGUAGUCCCUGUCUCUUAUAU
rnacentral:rRNA from 1 species